rnacentral:rRNA from 1 species
GACGAACGCUGGCGGCGUGCCUAAUACAUGCAGUUCGAGCGGAUGGAUGGAAGCUUGCUUCCUGAAAUCAGCGGCGGACGGGUGAGUAACACGUGGGCAACCUGCCCCUAAGAUCGGGAUAACUUCGGGAAACCGGAGCUAAUACCGGAUAUUAUUUUCUUUUACAUGAGAGGAAAUGGAAAGACGGUUUCGGCUGUCACUUAGGGAUGGGCCCGCGGCGCAUUAGCUAGUUGGUGAGGUAACGGCUCACCAAGGCGACGAUGCGUAGCCGACCUGAGAGGGUGAUCGGCCACACUGGGACUGAGACACGGCCCAGACUCCUACGGGAGGCAGCAGUAGGGAAUCUUCCGCAAUGGACGAAAGUCUGACGGAGCAACGCCGCGUGAGUGAAGAAGGUUUUCGGAUCGUAAAACUCUGUUGUCAGGGAAGAACAAGUACCAUAGUAACUGAUGGUACCUUGACGGUACCUGACCAGAAAGCCACGGCUAACUACGUGCCAGCAGCCGCCGUAAAAC